UACGGGGGGGGCAAGCGUUGUUCGGAAUUACUGGGCGUAAAGGGCUCGUAGGCGGCCAACUAAGUCAUACGUGAAAUCCCUCGGCUUAACCGGGGAACUGCGUCUGAUACUGGAUGGCUUGAGUUCGGGAGAGGGAUGCGGAAUUCCAGGUGUAGCGGUGAAAUGCGUAGAUAUCUGGAGGAACACCGGUGGCGAAGGCGGCAUCCUGGACCGAUACUGACGCUGAGGAGCGAAAGCAUGGGGAGCAAACAGG
rnacentral:rRNA from 1 species